rnacentral:misc_RNA from 1 species
CAUCCGUGCGACGCCGAAAGUCAAUCGAAUGGGGCGUAAUGCCGAUUUGGGGCAAAUAGAGAGGUCGAAGACCCCUUACCCUCGGUGUUUUCUGCAUCCCCGAAGUCAUGCUACGCUCAUGGGCCGGACUGCAUAGCAAUUUGUAUGCAAGUCGGAACACGAAUUUCGCUUUGAGGUUCUCCCGAAGCCGCACCGCGUAAACGGGCAGCAGUAAGAGAACUCGGGACAAAUUAGCCGACAAAUUCCAUCGAUGUAGGUAUGCAGCACAGGAAACCAACAGAUCGGCCAAGGCCAAAGAGGCUCUUGUGCCAAAAAUUGAGGAGGAAUGCACGAGAGGACGUCGCUACCCAAGUAGGGAUCCAA